GACGAACGCUGGCGGCGUGCUUAACACAUGCAAGUCGAACGCUGAAGCUUGGUGCUUGCACUGGGUGGAUGAGUGGCGAACGGGUGAGUAAUAAGUGAUUAACCUGCCCUUGACUCUGGGAUAAGCCUGGGAAACUGGUUCUAAUACUGGAUACGACAUGUCACCGCAUGGUGGUGUGUGGAAAGGGUUUUACUGGUUUUGUAUGGGCUCACGGCCUAUUAGCUUGUUGGUGGGGUAAUGGUUAACCAAGGCGACGACGGGUAGCCAGCCUGAGAGGGUGACCGGCCACACUGGGACUGAGAAACGACCCAGACUCCUACGUGAGGCAGCAGUGGAAAAUAUUGCACAAUGGGCGGAAGCCUGAUGCAGCGACGCCGCGUCAGGGAUGACGGCCUUCGGGUUGUAAACCUCUUUCAACACGAAAGAAGCGAAAGUGACGGUACCUACAGAAGAAGCGCCGGCUAACUACGUG
rnacentral:rRNA from 1 species